rnacentral:tRNA from 1 species
GCCUGGGUGGUGAAAUGGCAGACACGCCAGACUUAGGAUCUGGUGCCGCAAGGCGUAGGGGUUCAAGUCCCCUCCCAGGCA